GUGCUUGCUUUGGCAGCACAUAGGCUAAAAUUGGAGCGAUACAGAGAUUAGUGUGACCCCUGUGCAAGGAUGACACCCAAAUUCAUGGUUUAGUAGUAGCUAUU